UCCAGCUUCCCUGGCUAGGAAGUGACAAAUUCGCUUCAGUGUACUGUAUCAAUGAUGUGCAGAUUACGGUCUCUAACAGCACACAACGGGGCCAUUAUCAUAUGUUGUCACCAUGUACCAUUAAAAGGUCUUUAAUCUGCAGAUUGCCGCCACAAUACGCUGCUCAUGCCAGGGAUCUGCUGAGUAACAGGCCAGGACGCUGCGAAAAACCUCCAGCCUCCGGGGUCGCCUGAAAAACCCAGCUCCCCGUCAGUCAAUCACUGCAACUCAAUUAAUGUAUCUGGGUCAUAAAAAUGGUUUACGGGAGCCUGAGCCGGGUUACGAAACGCAGCGCGGGCGGAUCUACCGGGCGGCGGUGGAGGUCAGCGCCCGGUGCGCCCAGUUCUGAAUACCAGCGCCAGAUUCUGCCCUGGUGUCCCUGGAAUACCUGGACAUUUUCUUAAGGGUACAACUGGCAGGACCUGAUUCCAAGUGGGAGGAUGAAAGAAGAUGCCCUGAGAGACUCAUAGCAGUCCUUUAUACAGUGCAGAGGAGGACAAGGGAUCAUGUGAAGAGCAUCGCAGAGGCCACGGUCAGCCCAAGAGCUCUUUGAUGAUUCGUCACCCUCAAAGUGGCAAAAUGAGGCCAUGCACACAGUGAAAGGAACUUUGAGGUGCACUGCAUGAAUUUUGAGCCAAUGUGUUUUCUUCUGAUAUGGUGCCUAAGUUUCCUUCUCCUCUUAACAAUAACUCCUCUUCAUGCCUCCAGAAAACAAGAUGAUUGAUUUUUAAAGUAGCCAUGUAUUUUACAACAGCAUGCUAGUGAUAGAGAAAAAACUGCAACAAUCCAAUAGUCAGCAUGUUUUGGCAAAUAGAAUUAAGCUGUAUAAACCAAUAACAUUUAAAAAAACAAUUAAUUACAGAUAAAGUAUAAUGACAACAAAUCUUAAAACAACCAAAGAAACAAGACCGACACUUCAAGCGUAUCUUGUGCCCAUAUAAGUGCCAGUCUAGUCAGAGGUCUUGAUUUUUAAGGACAGCCUUUUGCACAUUGCAUACAGGUAUCUGUUACACGAGCACACAAAAGAUCUAGUGCCAGCUUAGAGGCUGAGAUUUUGUUUCUGGAGCAGGCUCCUUCCCUGUGAUACUGGGGAAUGGAGUGGAUGUGAACUCCUUGUUCAGACACUGCUUGUUUCUUAGAUGAGCUGAGAGGUGGAUGAGAGCAGCUCUUCUUCCCUUGCAGAAGAUUCUUUGCUCUGAGCCCACAUCCCUUCCUUCUGGAAGAGCAAUCUCAGCACUGUUUCCUGGAGACACCCUUUGCUUAUCCCGCUCAGGUUCCUUCAGUGAGGAGCCUCAUUUCCUCUACAACCAUAUGACAAUCUCCUAAGCCAUUGUGUGAGGAGCUCCAUUCCUCUAAACGGAGGAGCAACAAACAGUCGGGGACUCAAUCUGUGUCAGUUUUACCAGCCAUAACAAGCACUGGCUGUCAGGCCUGCAUCAUACCCUCCUACCCUUCCUAGGGUCUUGACUGCUUGGGCUCAGGGCCAGCUUAGGUAAUGGGUGCAGGCAUCACGUCUUCAAUCAGAGAGGUGUUUGAGAAAAUGCUGUGAGGAGCCUUGUUGGGAAUGGCUGCCCUUCUCUCAGGAGGUGCUUUUACACUGCUCCCUGCCUAAGCUACACUGCAGCUGUGUUGCAGCUGUGCCCAUGCCCAUGCUCAUGGUUCAAGCUGGCCACUCACCCUAGAUGGGCUCAGGUCAAGGAAUGCAAGAAGCACAUGCAGCUUGUUCACAAAGCCUCCCUGGCACUGGAAACAAAGCACCAUAUGCUUGAGCAGCAGGAGCAAAAGUGCGAGCUCAAGGCAAAGGGAGUUGAGAGCAGAAGGGCAAGGAGGUGCACAGGGAAGGCACAGGGACAUCUUGCUCCCCCCUUCCUCCUUCUGGGGCACUGGUGGGUGACGCACAGCUACCUUCUCUCCCUGCGGCUCCAGAGGGGUGCCCCUUCCACUUCACUUUCCAAUAUCCUGCCCCCAGGGUGGCUACUGCUUCUAGUCCUCUUCCCCUCUCUCUUACCACUUUUGGGCAUCGUCACUCUCCGUUCAUCUUUGCCUUAUAGUCUCUUCUAAGCCCUUGCUGUGUUAGCUGCCCGCUCAGCCCACUGUGCAGGAUGAAACCGAUAGCGGUAUCAGCAGCAAGCAUCGGGGCAAGGAGAUCAGGUGCUGUACGUGUGCCAUUGUCCCCAGCAGAGAGCACAGCAGGCACGCCCUGGUGCCACUGUCACUGACGCACAAGGCACAAAGGUUACCUGCAUCGCUGGCCUGUCACACUGGGUCUGCUGGAAACAGACUUAGACUGUAGAUACGCAGAUUUUUAAUUAACAUCGGAUCAGCUAGGGCUUUCCUUUUUAAACAUGUAUAGACGAGGCUGAUAAUGUUUUCUAACAGCCUUUGAAAUGUAUGAUUUCCAUGUUUGUCCUGAAUUGUAUGUAUUUGUUAACAUUUCUUCUUUUCCUGGCAACCAACAGAAAUAUACCUGUAUUAGGAACUGAAAUAAACGGUUUAUUGACUCAUUUGAAAGAAUUUUUAAUGAUGUAAAAAUCACUUAUAUUCAAUACUCA